CGUACGAUUCGAACAAAGCAGAACGCUUUCAAUACAGACCGGCAUCGUCUGAAGUCAUUGUGUUCCGACUUGGAGCAAGUCAUUUCUGUAUAUUAAAGCCCAAGAAAAAUUUUCACAGUCGGCGGUGUAAUCCUAAUUUUCAGUGGAAAAAAUUCCCAUUUGAUAAUUCCAUCUCGAUUGUGGACGAGUUGAUGAGUUUCGAGAAGUGGCCGAGGCUCAAAGUCGCGAGUACUUAAUAAACCUUGUUUUGGAAACUUGCUGGUGAUUUACUUCCGAACAACAAGAAGACACAAUUGAAAAAUUUUGUUGUGAAAAUGAAUUUCUUUUUUCUUAUUGCUUUCGUUAUAAUUUUAAUAAAUGUUGGUCUUACGUUUCCAAUGGGUCACGUUAAAGAAUCAGAAGAUUUGGAACUGGCGGAAACAUUAGUUUUUCGACCAUUAUUUGCUUCCAGACUACCGCAACGAAGAAGAACAACCCGUCGGAUUUAAUACUUUAUUUAUAAUAAUGAUUACUCUCUUUACAUUAUUGGUAAUAUAACAAAAUAAAUAUUU